UACGUAGGAGACGAGCGUUGUCCGGCAUUACUGGGCGUAAAGCGCGUGUAGGCGGAUGAGCAAGUCUGCUGUGAAAGCUCCUGGCUUAACCGGGAGUGGUCGGUGGAAACUGCUCGUCUGGAGGACGGUAGAGGUAGGUAGAAUUCCCGGUGUAGUGGUGAAAUGCGUAGAGAUCGGGAGGAAUACCUGUGGCGAAGGCGGCCUACUGGGCCAGACCUGACGCUGAGACGCGAAGGCGUGGGGAGCGAACGGG
rnacentral:rRNA from 1 species